AUACGGAGGGUGCAAGCGUUAUCCGGAAUCAUUGGGUUUAAAGGGUCCGCAGGCGGAUUAAUAAGUCAGUGGUGAAAUCCUCUCGCUCAACGAGGGAACUGCCAUUGAAACUGUUAGUCUUGAAUUCGGUCGAAGUAGGCGGAAUGUGUCAUGUAGCGGUGAAAUGCAUAGAUAUGACACAGAACACCGAUAGCGAAGGCAGCUUACUAGACCUGGAUUGACGCUCAUGGACGAAAGCGUGGGGAGCGAACAGGAUUAGAAACCCCAGUAGUCC
rnacentral:rRNA from 1 species